GAUGAAGAACGUAGCGAAAUGCGAUAAGUAAUGUGAAUUACAGAAUUCAGUGAAUCAUCGAAUCUUUGAACGCACAUUGCGCCCGCCAGUAUUCUGGCGGGCAUGCCUGUUCGAGCGUCAUUACAACCCUCAGGCCCCCGGGCCUGGCGUUGGGGAUCGGCGAGGCGCCCCCCGCGGGCACGCGCCGUCCCCCAAAUACAGUGGCGGUCCCGCCGCAGCUUCCAUUGCGUAGUAGCUAACACCUCGCAACUGGAGAGCGGCGCGGCCAUGCCGUAAAACACCCAACUUCUGAAUGUUGACCUCGAAUCAGGUAGGAAUACCCGCUGAACUUAAGCAUAUCAAUAAGCGGAGGA
rnacentral:misc_RNA from 1 species